UCGGCUGCUGACAGGCAUCGUGCUGGCUGGGAGGCUGGCUGACGCAGCGCCUGGCUCACUGGUUGUUUUGAUAGGCAGGGAGGAGCCCAGGCUAGAAGUGGGCACUGGGCUGGUGUGCUUCGUAGCAGCUGAAAAACUGGUGCUGUCCACAGGCUCUGCACUGGUGGCCCUGCUGGCACCAGGAGCGGUGUCCGUCGUGCUGGUCCCUACAGUGGCGGAGGAUGCAGAGGUGCUCUCAGUAGAGGGCACGGGUGUGAGAGUCAUGGAGGCAUCAGUCACUGGUGAGGAUACAGCCUCGCUGGGUGCUGGGAACAGGGUGCUGGAUUCCGCUGGGGACUCUGGGGCCGUGCUGCCUUCCGUGGCAGUGGGGCCACUGAUCCCCGGGACUGAAGCAGGUGUACUUCCUUCUGGACUCCCAGACACAGAUGCAGUGGAGGCGGCCCCCGUGCCAGAAGAGGACCCGGCUACAGCAGAAGUCACCCAUGUGCUCAUGCCCACUACCGUCAGGCAGAGGCAAAGGUAAGGAGAUGGAAAGAAGAAUAAAGCCUCAGGCAGGAGGAAUCCCAGUACCUGAAUCACCACAGGAGGAGAAGCCACCUGACCAUCUGACCAUCAAGAACACUUACCUUUCAUCCUUACACCAGAAAGAAAAAAACCAAAGCAAAGUUGGAGACCAGCCUGGGCUACGUAGUGAGUUCUAGGUCAGUCUCAACUACAUAGUGAGACCCUGUCUCAAAAAAACAACAACAAAAAAAAACAAAGCAAG
rnacentral:lncRNA from 1 species